rnacentral:rRNA from 1 species
UACGUAGGGUGCGAGCGUUGUCCGGAAUUAUUGGGCGUAAAGAGCUUGUAGGCGGUUUGUCGCGUCUGCUGUGAAAACUCAGGGCUUAACCCUGAGCCUGCAGUGGGUACGGGCAGACUAGAGUGUGGUAGGGGAGACUGGAAUUCCUGGUGUAGCGGUGGAAUGCGCAGAUAUCAGGAGGAACACCGAUGGCGAAGGCAGGUCUCUGGGCCACUACUGACGCUGAGAAGCGAAAGCAUGGGGAGCGAACAGG